GCCUUCGAGGAUCAGUGGCGAUCAUCCCCAUCAAUUCAUACGGCGUCUACAAAGAUGUCCAGGGAAGGUGGGGGUUCGAAUCCUCCCGAAGGCA